GACGAACGCUGGCGGCGUGCCUAUACAUGCAAGUCGAACGAGAGCGGCCGGUGCUUGCACUGGUAAAUCUAGGGGCGAACGGGUGAGUAACCCGUGGGUAACCUGCCCAUCAGAGGGGGAUAACAUCCGGAAACGGAUGCUAAAACCGCAUAGGUCUUCGAGCCGCAUGGCUUGAAGAGGAAAAGAGGCGCAAGCUUCUGCUGAUGGAUGGACCCGCGGUGCAUUAGCUAGUUGGUGAGGUAACGGCUCACCAAGGCCGUGAUGCAUAGCCGACCUGAGAGGGUGAUCGGCCACAUUGGGACUGAGACACGGCCCAAACUCCUACGGGAGGCAGCAGUAGGGAAUCUUCCGCAAUGGACGCAAGUCUGACGGAGCAACGCCGCGUGAGUGAAGAAGGUUUUCGGAUCGUAAAACUCUGUUGUUAGAGAAGAACAAGUGCUAGAGUAACUGUUAGCGCCUUGACGGUAUCUAACCAGAAAGCCACGGCUAACUACGUG
rnacentral:rRNA from 1 species